AGCGAACGCUGGCGGCAGGCCUAACACAUGCAAGUCGAACGGACCCGUUCGGGGUUAGUGGCGGACGGUGAGUAACACGUGGGAACGUGCCCUUUAGUGAGGAAUAACUUCGAGAAAUUGAAGGUAAUACCGCAUAAGCCCCAAGGGGAAAGGUGGCCUCUUUGCUGCCGCUAAAGGAUAAGCUUGCGUACUAUUAGCUAGUUGGUAGGGUAAAGGCCUACCAAGGCGAUGAUGGUUAGCCGGCCUGAGAGGGUGUUCGGCCACAUUGGAACUUAGACACGGUCCAAACUCCUACGGGAGGCAGCAGUGAGGAAUAUUGCGCAAUGAGCGAAAGCUUGACGCAGCGACGCCGCGUGGAGGAUGAAGGUUUUCGGAUUGUAAACUCCUGUUAAGUGGGAAGAAAGUCGCGUUUCUAAUAAAGACGUGAAAUGACGGUACCGCUAAAGAAAGCACCGGCUAACUUCGUG
rnacentral:rRNA from 1 species